GACGAACGCUGGCGGCGUGCUUAACACAUGCAAGUCGAGCGGUAAGGCCCUUUCGGGGGUACACGAGCGGCGAACGGGUGAGUAACACGUGGGUGACCUGCCCUCAGCUCUGGGAUAAGCCUGGGAAACCGGGUCUAAUACCGGAUAUGACUCCAUGACGCAUGUUGUGGGGUGGAAAGCCUUGUGCGGCUGAGGAUGGGCCCGCGGCCUAUCAGCCUGUUGGUGGGGGAUGGCCUACCAAGGCGACGACGGGUAGCCGGCCUGAGAGGGUGGUCGGUCACACUGACACUGAAUAACGGGUCAGACUCCUACGGGAGGCAGCAGUCGGGAAUUUUGGGCAAUGGG
rnacentral:rRNA from 1 species